UACGAAGGGAGCUAGCGUUGUUCGGAACCACUGGGCGUAAAGCGCACGUAGGCGGAUGUGUCAGUCAGGGGUGAAAUCCCGGAGCUCAACUUCGGAACUGCCUUUGAUACAGCACGUCUUGAGUCCGGAAGAGGUGGGUGGAAUUCCUAGUGUAGAGGUGAAAUUCGUAGAUAUUAGGAAGAACACCGGUGGCGAAGGCGGCCCACUGGUCCGGUACUGACGCUGAGGUGCGAAAGCGUGGGGAGCAAACAGG
rnacentral:rRNA from 1 species